rnacentral:rRNA from 4 species
AUGAGUUAAGUAUAAACCCCUUUACAAGUAUCAAUUGGAGGGCAAGUCUGGUGCCAGCAGCCGCGGUAAUUCCAGCUCCAAUAGCGUAUAUUAAAGUUGUUGCAGUUAAAAAGCUCGUAGUUGGAUUUCUGUUAAUAAUUUAUAUAUAAUAUUUUAUGAUAUUUAUAUAAUAUUAACAUAAUUCAUAUUACUAUAUAUUUAUUAGUAUAUGAAAUUUUACUUUGAGAAAAUUAGAGUGCUUAAAGCAGGCAUUAGCCUUGAAUACUCCAGCAUGGAAUAAUAUAAAAGAUUUUUAUCUUUUUUAUUGGUUCUAAGAUAAAAAUAAUGAUUAAUAGGGACAGUUGGGGGCAUUUGUAUUUAACAGUCAGAGGUGAAAUUCUUAGAUUUGUUAAAGACAAACUAGUGCGAAAGCAUUUGCCAAGGAUGUUUUCAUUAAUCAAGAACGAAAGUUAGGGGAUCGAAGACGAUCAGAUACCGUCGUAGU